rnacentral:misc_RNA from 1 species
GGCUGAAAAAAAUAUCUAGUACAUUGGGGGGAUUACGUAGAUAUACAUGUUCAAUCAAUCUGCUUUUACUGAUUUGCUAUAUAUUAUGUAAUUUCUUCCACUGUUUCUUGAAGAAAUGAAAAGGGAUCAUGAAUGUGUCUUCAGAAAACUUUUUGUUCUUUUAAAAUCCAAACCUGUGAAGUGGAUAGAAUGUGGUGCUAAAUCUUAUCUGUGGUGAC